GGAGGUAGUGACAAUAAAUCACAAUGCGGAACUUCUGUUUUGCAAUUGGAUUGAGAACAACGCACAACACUUAUCGAUAAACAAUUGGAGGGCAAGUCUGGUGCCAGCAGCCGCGGUAAUUCCAGCUCCAAUAGCGUAUAUUAACGUUGUUGCAGUUAAAAAGCUCGUAGUUGAAGUGAAGUGUGAAUCUCUUGGAUUUUCGUUUGAAUUUCCUUUAGCUUCAUACUCUUUCCAAAUAGUUUGCAUGGGUAUUUACUUAUCUGUGUAUUGCAUUUGGUCAUUUACUGUGAGAAAAUUAGAGUGUUCAAAGCAUACGUUUGUUUGAAUACAUUAGCAUGGAAUAAUUCGAAAAGGCUUUCAUGUUCGAUUUGAUUGGUUUGUUCGUGAAGGCAAGAUUAAAAGGGACAGUUGGGGGUAUUCAUAUUCAAUAGUCAGAGGUGAAAUUCUCGGAUUCAUGGAAGAUGAACAAGUGCGAAAGCA
rnacentral:rRNA from 1 species